rnacentral:misc_RNA from 1 species
GUGAAUCAUCAAAUUUUUGAACGCAAAUUGCGCUUCCUGGCAUCCCGGGGAGUAUGCCUGUUUGAGGGUCGGUAGUAACAUAAAAUCGUGUUGGUUGCAAGUUGUGACGUUUCCGCAGUUUGGGCUAUCUUAACUUUUUUGGUUGAGAGGCUUAAAAUUGACCUUUUUUGCGCAUUUUUAGC